rnacentral:lncRNA from 1 species
GUAGAGAUCCGGAGUAGACAAUCCGCUGUAGGAGUUUGGAGUAGACCGCUCGUAGUAGAAGUUCAGAGCAGACCACUCGCUGUAGGAGUUCAGAGUAGACCGCUCGUAGUAGAAGUUUGGCUCUCACAGGAGUCUGAUUGGAAUCCUGAAGGUGGUCGAACAUCGUAGAAACUCGGAUGGAGUCCGAUUACCGUAGAAACCUCAUUGUCGAAGA